rnacentral:sRNA from 1 species
AAUAAAAAGUAAUUAAUCAUAUUUAUACGGUUAGCGCAGGCUCAUAAAUGAUCCAUUCCCCUAGGCCCGGAUCAGGACGAUCUGGGCCGACUUUU